rnacentral:rRNA from 1 species
AUUGAACGCUGGCGGCAGGCUUAACACAUGCAAGUCGAGCGGGGGAGGUUGCUUCGGUAACUGACCUAGCGGCGGACGGGUGAGUAAUGCUUAGGAAUCUGCCUAUUAGUGGGGGACAACAUUCCGAAAGGGAUGCUAAUACCGCAUACGCCCUACGGGGGAAAGCAGGGGAUCGUCGGACCUUGCGCUAAUAGAUGAGCCUAAGUCGGAUUAGCUAGUUGGUGGGGUAAAGGCCUACCAAGGCGACGAUCUGUAGCGGGUCUGAGAGGAUGAUCCGCCACACUGGGACUGAGACACGGCCCAGACUCCUACGGGAGGCAGCAGUGGGGAAUAUUGGACAAUGGGGGGAACCCUGAUCCAGCCAUGCCGCGUGUGUGAAGAAGGCCUUUUGGUUGUAAAGCACUUUAAGCGAGGAGGAGGCGCUCUAGGAUAAUACCCUAGAUGCGUGGACGUUACUCGCAGAAUAAGCACCGGCUAACUCUGUGCCAGCCGCCGCAGUAAGAC